GAAAAGAUCCCUUUAAAGCUCAAGCUCAAAGCUGGUGCAAUUCCAACGAUAUUUCCGGAAACAGAGGCAUACAAAGCUUCAAAGAAAGCUCCUCUAAAUCCCAACGACCUUGGACCAGGGAAGCACAACCGAGCGAAGUAUGGCGCCUAUUCUGAAAGGAACCGGACCCAUAUUCAUCAUGUGUGGAAGAGCCAGAUGUCUGUGAAGAAAUGUCUUGUGAACAGUCGCCUGUUCGGAUCAGUUAUCCUGAAUCACAUUUUGAUAAUGUGUAUUCGCAGUCAUCACAGACAUCUGAGACGGUUGUAUUUCGGCCAACAGAACAUAAGGGAUUCACUGUCAAACCACAGGGAAAGAACUCUCCUAUCCUAAGUACAAGGCUGGACACCAUGUGGUUAAAGCAGUUAAAGAGAAUUGCACUUAUGACUAUGUUGAUGAACUAAUGGCAGAGCUGCUUAGGAUGAAAGAGGAGUACAAGAGCGAUGCCAAUGCAAGGGCUGCCUCUGGCAACAUUCUGUUUUCACCGCCACCCGUCUUCAUCUGCAAACAGAAUCCUGAAGUCAGAGGCUGUGCAG